rnacentral:rRNA from 1 species
UACAGAGGUCUCAAGCGUUGUUCGGAUUCAUUGGGCGUAAAGGGUGCGUAGGCGGCGCGGUAAGUCGGAUGUGAAAUCUCGGAGCUUAACUCCGAAACUGCAUUCGAUACUGCCGUGCUUGAGGACUGGAGAGGAGACUGGAAUUUACGGUGUAGCGGUGAAAUGCGUAGAUAUCGUAAGGAAGACCAGUGGCGAAGGCGGGUCUCUGGACAGUUCCUGACGCUGAGGCACGAAGGCCGGGGAGCAAACGGG